GUUAGCGGCGGACGGGUGAGUAACACGUGGGUAACCUGCCUGUAAGACUGGGAUAACUCCGGGAANCCGGGGCUAAUACCGGAUGGUUGUUUGAACCGCAUGGUUCAAACAUAAAAGGUGGCUUCGGCUACCACUUACAGAUGGACCCGCGGCGCAUUAGCUAGUUGGUGAGGUAANGGCUCACCAAGGCAACGAUGCGUAGCCGACCUGAGAGGGUGAUCGGCCACACUGGGACUGAGACACGGCCCAGACUCCUACGGGAGGCAGCAGUAGGGAAUCUUCCGCAAUGGACGAAAGUCUGACGGAGCAACGCCGCGUGAGUGAUGAAGGUUUUCGGAUCGUAAAGCUCUGUUGUUAGGGAAGAACAAGUACCGUUCGAAUAGGGCGGUACCUUGACGGUACCUAACCAGAAAGCCACGGCUAACUACGUGCCAGCAGCCGCGGUAAUACGUAGGUGGCAAGCGUUGUCCGGAAUUAUUGGGCGUAAAGGGCUCGCAGGCGGUUUCUUAAGUCUGAUGUGAAAGCCCCCGGCUCAACCGGGGAGGGUCAUUGGAAACUGGGGAACUUGAGUGCAGAAGAGGAGAGUGGAAUUCCACGUGUAGCGGUGAAAUGCGUAGAGAUGUGGAGGAACACCAGUGGCGAAGGC
rnacentral:rRNA from 1 species